UAGGGUGUAGCUCAGUGGUAGAGCCCUUGCCUAGCAUGCAUUAAGGCUCUGGGUUCAAUUCCCAAUACCAUGC
rnacentral:tRNA from 1 species